UACAGAGGGUGCAAACGUUGCUCGGAAUCAUUGGGCGUAAAGCGCACGUAGGCGGCCCAGCAAGUGGGGAGUGAAAGCCCUCGGCUUAACCGAGGAAGUGCUUUCCAAACUACUGGGCUUGAAUACUGGAGAGGGUCGCGGAAUUCCCGGUGUAGAGGUGAAAUGCGUAAAUAUCGGAAGGAACACCAGUGGCGAAAGCGGCUUCCUGGUCCAGCACCGACGUUCAGGCACGAAAGCGUGGGGAGCAAACAGG
rnacentral:rRNA from 1 species